ACCCCCAGCAAAAGGCAAAGAGACACCUUGUUGGUGAUGUUGUUCUUGUAUCAGCCAGGGGCAGAGCAGACAACAGUUCUUGUUCAUCCUAGCUUGAUGUCUGAUUUGGUGGCCAAAGCUGUUCUGAUGCCUAGGACUCAUAA